GUGAACGCUGGCGGUAGGCCUAACACAUGCCAGUCGAACGGCAGCACAGUAAGAGCUUGCUCUUACGGGUGGCGAGUGGCGGACGGGUGAGGAAUACAUCGGAAUCUACUUUUUCGUGGGGGAUAACGUAGGGAAACUUACGCUAAUACCGCAUACGACCUACGGGUGAAAGCAGGGGAUCUUCGGACCUUGCGCGAUUGAAUGAGCCGAUGUCGGAUUAGCUAGUUGGCGGGGUAAAGGCCCACCAAGGCGACGAUCCGUAGCUGGUCUGAGAGGAUGAUCAGCCACACUGGAACUGAGACACUGUCCAGACUCCUACGGGAGGCAGCAGUGGGGAAUAUUGGACAAUGGGCGCAAGCCUGAUCCAGCCAUACCGCGUGGGUGAAGAAGGCCUUCGGGUUGUAAAGCCCUUUUGUUGGGAAAGAAAAGCAGCAGGUUAAUACCCCGCUGUUCUGACGGUACCCAAAGAAUAAGCACCGGCUAACUUCGUG
rnacentral:rRNA from 1 species